rnacentral:rRNA from 1 species
AUUGAACGCUGGCGGCAGGCCUAACACAUGCAAGUCGAACGAGUGGCGGACGGGUGAGUAAUGUCUGGGAAACUGCCUGAUGGAGGGGGAUAACUACUGGAAACGGUAGCUAAUACCGCAUACCAUCAGAUGUGCCCCGAUGGGAUUAGCUAUGUGGUGGGGUAACGGCUUACCGAGGCGACGAUCCCUAGCUGGGCUGAGAGGCAGACCCGCCACACUGGCACUGAGACACGGUCCAGACUCCUACGGGAGGCAGCCGUGGGGAAUAUUGCACAAUGGGCGCAAGCCUGAUGCAGCCAUGCCGCGUGUAUGAAGAAGGCCUUCGGGUGGUAAAGUACUUUCAGCGGGGAGGCGUUACCCGCAGAAGAAGCACCGGCUAACUCCGUGCCAGCCGCCGCGGUAAUUC